CCUCAAGAUGAGAUUUCCCAACUUCGGUUAUAAGAUCCCUCAAAGAUGAUGAGGUUAAUAGGUUCGAGGUGGAAGCAUGGUGACAUGUGGAGCUGACGAAUACUAAUCGAUCGAAGACUUAAUCAAAUU
rnacentral:rRNA from 1 species